AGAGUACGUGAAACCGUUCAGGGGUAAACCUGAGAAACCCGAAAGGUCGAAAGGGGAGAUUCAGCGUGUCUCGAUUGCGGCGCUGGACGGUCGUGCGACGGAAGACGUACGCGUCAUCCGCACCUUCCGUUCUCCGAACCGUAGUCGAACGCGUGCACUUCUCCCCCUGUAGGACGUCGCGAUCCGUUGGGUGUCGGCCUAAGGCCCGCAAUGGAGCCCGUCCGGACGGUCCGCCGUUCCGGACGAACUUGCGGUGUUUCCCGGUCGGCUCGCUCGACGGUAUACAGAUGGCGCGGGGCCGCUACACGUUAGUUAGCGUCCGACCGGCGGCAAGCGCGCUCGUCGUGACGGUGAUCGGACCUGGUGCCGGUCCUGUCCCCGAGUGGCUGUUCGCUGCCGUGUUCUCGGACAGACCUCGUCGAAACGCCGAUCUGCGACGCUAUAGCUUUGGGUAC
rnacentral:rRNA from 1 species